rnacentral:lncRNA from 1 species
CAAGCUCCUCUGACUGGUUUUGUUGAAGUUGUCCCCCACUCUUCUGAUGGUGUGCUGUGAUGGAUGUUCUGGUGGUUCUUUUGGCAGUCAUGUUCUACUGCCUUGAUAUAUUUUUCUGUUUUUUUUUAUUUUCUGGAUUUUAUCUCAGCUUGUAUAAAGUUGUGUUUGUUCCUGGAUCUGUAACACUUAUCAAUCUUCUUUGACAUUCUGUGUGACAUUCUGUUUGACUAAUAGACAUUUAUUUUGUCUCUUUGGUCUCUUUUGGCUAAAAAGGGGGAUAAGUAGCUAAAGGAGCUAUGCUAUACUAUAUACAGAUGAUGUUACACACAUUACAG